AUUAAUAAUCGAGAAGUACCUAUGCGAUGGCUGUAGCGAGCGUUUAAAUCGCCGAGAGAACUCAUUACUGGUGCAGAAUAAUAUACCAUAAAAAAAAAAAAAAAAAAGUAACAUAAAAUAUUGUAUUGUGUUGUUUAUUAGUGUGUCGUUUGCAACACGGCAUAAUAAAAUGUAUUAUUAUUUUAUGAUUUUAUUAAUUGUUUCGUUCCAUUUUUAUUUAUUUUGUCGUCCCCGAAAGUAUUUAUGACGUAUUAUGAACCCGCCCACCUUGUUUGGUCGAAAACUCGUAAAUUCGGAUACAGAAACGUCUUAGACCCGCAUUUCGUUUACGCGGUAAUCGGUAUAAUAUACAGCAGUAUAACUUAAUAUGUAUAGUGAAACCUCUAAAUAGGUACCGGAUAGUUUCGGUCGCUGAAAUUUUGCCCGCUUUUCGGAGCUGUCCACUAUUU